UAGAGUUUGAUCAUGGCUCAGAGCGAACGCUGGCGGCAGGCCUAACACAUGCAAGUCGAACGGACCCUUCGGGGUUAGUGGCGGACGGGUGAGUAACACGUGGGAACGUGCCUUUAGGUUCGGAAUAGCUCCUGGAAACGGGUGGUAAUGCCGAAUGUGCCCUUCGGGGGAAAGAUUUAUCGCCUUUAGAGCGGCCCGCGUCUGAUUAGCUAGUUGGUGAGGUAAUGGCUCACCAAGGCGACGAUCAGUAGCUGGUCUGAGAGGAUGACCAGCCACAUUGGGACUGAGACACGGCCCAAACUCCUACGGGAGGCAGCAGUGGGGAAUCUUGCGCAAUGGGCGAAAGCCUGACGUUGCCAUGCUCCGUGAUCAAUAAAGGUGUUCGGACGUAAAAUCUUCACCGAGACGAUAAG
rnacentral:rRNA from 1 species